rnacentral:sRNA from 2 species
CCAAUAGCGUAUAUUAAAGUUGUUGCAGUUAAAAAGCUCGUAGUUGAAUUUCGAGACCGGCUUACUGGUCGUGCUUUUGUGCGUACUGGUAUAAUCGGUUUCUCCUUUCUGACGAACUUUAAUGCCAUUAAUUUGGUGUUUUAGGGAAUCAGGACUGUUACUUUGAAAAAAUUAGAGUGUUUAAAGCAGGCUCACGCUUGAAUACAUUAGCAUGGAAUAACGGAAUAGGACGUUUGAUUCUAUUUUGUUGGUUUCUAGGAUCGACGUAAUGAUUAAUAGGGAUAGUUGGGGGCAUUAGUAUUCAAUUGUCAGAGGUGAAAUUCUUGGAUUUAUUGAAGACUAACUACUGCGAAAGCAUUUGCCAAGGAUGUUUUCAUUAAUCAAGAACGAAAGUUAGGGGAUCGAAGACGAUCAGAUACCGUCGUAGUCUUAACCAUAAACUAUGCCGACUAGGGAUCGGAUGAUGUUAAUUUUUUAAUGACUCAUUCGGCGCCUUACG